UACGUAGGGGCCGAGCGUUGUCCGGAGUUAUUGGGCGUAAAGCGCGCGCAGGCGGCUUCGCGCGCCCGACGUGAAAGCCCCCCGGCUUAACCGGGGAGAGUCGUUGGGGACGGCGGAGCUUGAGGGCGGGAGAGGUCGGUGGAAUUCCCGGUGUAGUGGUGAAAUGCGUAGAGAUCGGGAGGAACACCUGUGGCGAAGGCGGCCGACUGGGCCGACCCUGACGCUGAGGCGGCGAAGGCGUGGGGAGCGAACGGG
rnacentral:rRNA from 1 species